rnacentral:rRNA from 1 species
GAGUUUGAUCAUGGCUCAGGAUGAACGCUAGCGGCAGGCCUAACACAUGCAAGUCGAGGGGUAACGGGGAAGCUUGCUUCCGCCGACGACCGGCGCACGGGUGCGUAAUGCGUAUACAAUCUACCUUAUACUGGGGUAUAGCCUUUAGAAAUGAAGAUUAAUCCCCCAUAGUCUCUUAAAGUGGCAUCACUUAAGGAGUAAAGGAUACGGUAUGAGAUGAGUAUGCGUUCUAUUAGUUUGUUGGUGUGGUAACGGCACACCAAGACUACGAUAGAUAGGGGCCCUGAGAGGGGGAUCCCCCACACUGGUACUGAGACACGGACCAGACUCCUACGGGAGGCAGCAGUGAGGAAUAUUGGACAAUGGAGGCAACUCUGAUCCAGCCAUGCCGCGUGCAGGAUGACUGCCCUAUGGGUUGUAAACUGCUUUUAUACAGGAAGAAACACUCUCUCGUGAGGGAGCUUGACGGUACUGUAAGAAUAAGGAUCGGCUAACUCCGUGCCAGCAGCCGCGGUAAUACGGAGGAUCCAAGCGUUAUCCGGAAUCAUUGGGUUUAAAGGGUCCGUAGGUUGAUAAUUAAGUCAGAGGUGAAAUCUUACAGCUCAACUGUAAAAUUGCCUUUGAUACUGGUUAUCUUGAGUUAUUAUGAAGUAGUUAGAAUAUGUAGUGUAGCGGUGAAAUGCAUAGAUAUUACAUAGAAUACCAAUUGCGAAGGCAGAUUACUAAUAAUCAACUGACACUGAUGGACGAAAGCGUGGGUAGCGAACAGGAUUAGAUACCCUGGUAGUCCACGCCGUAAACGAUGGUUACUAGCUGUCUGGACUUCGGUCUGAGUGGCUAAGCGAAAGUGAUAAGUAACCCACCUGGGGAGUACGUUCGCAAGAAUGAAACUCAAAGGAAUUGACGGGGGCCCGCACAAGCGGUGGAGCAUGUGGUUUAAUUCGAUGAUACGCGAGGAACCUUACCAGGGCUUAAAUGUAAGUUGCAUUAGUUAGAGAUAGCUAUUUCUUCGGACCACUUACAAGGUGCUGCAUGGUUGUCGUCAGCUCGUGCCGUGAGGUGUCAGGUUAAGUCCUAUAACGAGCGCAAUCCCUGUUGUUAGUUGCCAGCGAUUCAAGUCGGGAACUCUAACAAGACUGCCGGUGCAAACCGUGAGGAAGGUGGGGAUGACGUCAAAUCAUCACGGCCCUUACGUCCUGGGCUACACACGUGCUACAAUGGUAGGGACAGAGAGCAGCCACUACGCGAGUAGGAGCGAAUCUAUAAACCCUAUCACAGUUCGGAUCGGAGUCUGCAACUCGACUCCGUGAAGCUGGAAUCGCUAGUAAUCGGAUAUCAGCCAUGAUCCGGUGAAUACGUUCCCGGGCCUUGUACACACCGCCCGUCAAGCCAUGGAAGUUGGAAGUGCCUGAAGUCCGUCACCGCAAGGAGCGGCCUAGGGUAAAGUCGAUAACUAGGGCUAAGUCGUAACAAGGUA